rnacentral:misc_RNA from 1 species
GUGAAUCAUCAAAUCUUUGAACGCAAAUUGCACUCUCCUCGGAGAGUAUGCCUGUUUGAGGGUCAGCCUAUAAAAAAUCGACAUCGUUGCUGUUUCGCGGUGACGUUCGUCGGAAAUUGGGUCAUCUUAAAUCCUUGUGGUUUUAAGCGACUUAAACAUUUCUUUUUGGUUCCAUGAACGUUGCUAAGAUUUAUUUCCUUACACGUUUAAGGUAUCGAUUUUUAUUAGACGUUGCCUUCAUAUCGGACCGCGUCCA